rnacentral:rRNA from 1 species
CGCUGGCGGCGUGCUUAACACAUGCAAGUCGAACGAGACGAUUUAAGCUUGCUUAGAUGAGUCGAGUGGCAAACGGUGAGUAACGCGUAGACAACCUGCCGCAAAGAUGGGGACAACAGUCCGAAAGGACUGCUAAUACCGAAUGUUGUCAAGCUUCCGCAUGGGAGUUUGAUUAAAGAUGGCCUCUACUUGUAAGCUAUCGCUUUGCGAUGGGUCUGCGUCUGAUUAGCUAGUUGGUGGGGUAACGGCCUACCAAGGCGACGAUCGGUAGCCGGUCUGAGAGGAUGAACGGCCACAUUGGGACUGAGACACGGCCCAGACUCCUACGGGAGGCAGCAGUGGGGAAUCUUCCGCAAUGGGCGCAAGCCUGACGGAGCAACGCCGCGUGAAGUGAGGAAGUUCUUCGGAACGUAAAGCUCUGUUGUUCCUGACGAACCUCCCCUUUAUCAACAACGGAGGGGACUGACGGUAGGGAACGAGGAAGCCACGGCUAACUACGUGCCAGCAGCUGC